rnacentral:lncRNA from 1 species
AUGUUUCUGACCACCCUCUUCAUCCGUACUCACAUACCUGCUAGACAGUGGAUCGGGAUGCACUGGUGGCUGCUGCCCCUCAUUGCACACCAAGCAGAACAUGAUCUAUUGCCUACAGAUCAGGGUGGAAAAUCACUACUGGCUGUAAAUACCCUAUUGACCUUGGAGCAGCAGCAUGGCCAUGCUGCUGCAGUGUGCAGGGCAGAGGCCAUGGAGCCCAUGAAGGUGGCCAAUACUUCCAAGGUCCCCCAACAUAGAUCUGUUGUAGACAAGAUUGACCAUCUCAAUGUCAUCCAGAAAUGGUCCUAA